rnacentral:rRNA from 1 species
UACGUAGGGUGCGGGCGUUGUCCGGAAUUAUUGGGCGUAAAGAGCUUGUAGGCGGUUUGUCGCGUCUGCUGUGAAAAUCCGGGGCUCAACCCCGGACUCGCAGUGGGUACGGGCAGACUAGAGUGUGGUAGGGGAGACUGGAAUUCCUGGUGUAGCGGUGAAAUGCGCAGAUAUCAGGAGGAACACCGAUGGCGAAGGCAGGUCUCUGGGCCACUACUGACGCUGAGAAGCGAAAGCAUGGGGAGCGAACAGGAUUAGAUACCCU